rnacentral:rRNA from 1 species
AGAGUUUGAUCCUGGCUCAGAUUGAACGCUGGCGGCGUGCUUAACACAUGCAAGUCGAACGUGAAAGUCCUUCGGGAUGAGUAAAGUGGCGCACGGGUGAGUAACGCGUGGAUAAUCUACCUUCAAGACGGGGAUAACGGUUGGAAACGGCCGCUAAUACCGGAUACGCUAUAUAUUAUAACGUUAUAUAAGAAAUGAUACCCUCUGCUUGCAAGCUAUUGCUUGAAGAUGACUCCGCGUCCCAUUAGCUAGUUGGUGAGGUAAAAGCUCACCAAGGCAACGAUGGGUAGCCGUUCUAAGAGGAUGAUCGGCCACACUGGAACUGGAACACGGUCCAGACUCCUACGGGAGGCAGCAGUGGGGAAUAUUGCGCAAUGGGCGAAAGCCUGACGCAGCGACGCCGCGUGAGGGAUGAAGGUCUUCGGAUCGUAAACCUCUGUCAGAGGGGAAGAAGUGUGUCUAUUCAAAUAGGGUAGGCAUUUGACGGUACCCUCAAAGGAAGCACCGGCUAACUCCGUGCCAGCAGCCGCGGUAAUACGGAGGGUGCGAGCGUUAAUCGGAAUUACUGGGCGUAAAGCGCACGUAGGUGGUUUUGUAAGUCAGGGGUGAAAUCCCACCGCUCAACGGUGGAACAGCCUUUGAUACUGCAUCACUAGAGUAUCGGAGAGGGUGACGGAAUUCCAGGUGUAGGAGUGAAAUCCGUAGAUAUCUGGAGGAACACCGGUGGCGAAGGCGGCCACCUGGACGAAAACUGACACUGAGGUGCGAAAGCAUGGGGAGCAAACAGGAUUAGAUACCCUGGUAGUCCAUGCUGUA